UUAGAUCAUGUGAGUGGGUAGGCAGAAACUUGAGGCCAUUAAUCCUCAUAGUAGGACCGAGGGACAGGAGCGGUAGAUCUAUCUGGGUGUACAUAUGGAGUACCCUAUCAUGUGAGUGGGUAGGCGGAAACUUGAGGCCAUUAAUCCUCAUAGUAGGACCGAGGGACAGGAGCGGUAGAUCUAUCUGGGUGUAGCGAGCCCAGCCCCAGGUCCAGCUGAACGGACCUCGGGGUGACUUAGUGCCCGACGCAUAAAUCCGCUAGGUUU
rnacentral:lncRNA from 1 species